UACGGAGGGUGCAAGCGUUAAUCGGAAUUACUGGGCGUAAAGCGCACGCAGGCGGUCUGUCAAGUCGGGUGUGAAAUCCCCGGGCUCAACCCGGGAAUUGCAUUUGAUACUGGCAGUCUAGAGUACUGUAGAGGGGGGUAGAAUUCCAGGUGUAGCGGUGAAAUGCGUAGAGAUGUGGAGGAAUACCGAUGGCGAAGGCAGCCCCCUGGGCAUGGACUGACGCUCAGGUGCGAAAGCGUGGGGAGCAAACAGG
rnacentral:rRNA from 1 species